AGAGCUUCCAUUUACAAAUUCCUCAGUCACAAGACAGAGGCUGCAGGAGCCCGGGCACACUUGUGGUGGCAGCAGGUGAUGUGCACUUGUUCCAGGGCCUCCAGAAGUCUGCGUAAUCCCCGGGAUUCCGGGCGGCCGUUGGGAUGGCCAUGUAAGGUGCCAUCGAGGGUCUGAGGGUUGAGAUGCUGGCGGGCGUGGGAUCUGGUGCAGAGCCAUGCAGAUGCUCUCGGGGUAUGCUUUUCCUCAAGGGUGUGUUUAUGUGUUUAUGUGUUUCCCUCCGGCUAAAGGGAGCGCUCUGGAAGGUCAACCACUGGGCUUUGGCCUUCUCUGUCUCCCCACAAUGUUCCGGAACACCAUUGUGCACAAAAUGAACCAAGCCUGAAGUUCUAGUCGUUAUUUUUUUUCCAUGAGAAAACUAAACCCAAAGAACGGAAACAUACUCGGAGUUUAUUGUACCGCUACCGCUGCCAAGCCAUUUGCCUAGAGACCAUGUUGGUCAAGUUGGGUUGUUUUUUUUUUGAGACAAACUCUCACU